rnacentral:rRNA from 1 species
UACGGAGGGGGCUAGCGUUGUUCGGAAUUACUGGGCGUAAAGCGCACGUAGGCGGCUUUGCAAGUUAGAGGUGAAAGCCCGGGGCUCAACUCCGGAAUUGCCUUUAAAACUGCAUCGCUAGAAUUGUGGAGAGGUAAGUGGAAUUCCGAGUGUAGAGGUGAAAUUCGUAGAUAUUCGGAAGAACACCAGUGGCGAAGGCGACUCGCUGGACUGAUACUGACGCUGAGGUGCGAAAGCGUGGGGAGCAAACAGG